GACCGAUAGCGAACAAGUACCGUGAGGGANAGUUGAAAAGAACUUUGAAGAGAGAGUUCAAGAGUACGUGAAACCGUUCAGGGGUAAACCUAAGAAACCCAAAAGAUCGAACGGGGAGAUUCAUCGUCAGCGGCGCUGGCUUCGCGUCGGUCGGCGAUGUCCCGCGGAGUCCUUGCGGCUCGCGCGCGGGCACGCUACCGUGCGCCGAUGUCCGGCGCUCGUCGUCGUGCACUUCUCCCCAAGUAGAACGUCGCGACCCGCUGGGUGUCGGUCUACGGCCCGGGUGCGGUGUCUGUCGCGUCGCCGGUAAAACGGCACGCGACAAACCCUCGGUCGCCCGGCCGGCUGCUCGGCGGUACGCGCAAGGUAUCAGGCCGCACUAUUCACGGUGCGUCGAGACCGUCGCAAGCGCGCGCCACGGUACUCGGAGGUUACGGACUUCGCGCCGUCCCCGGUCCUGGCCCGCUGUUGGUUACAGUACGGUACACCUUCGACAGGCCUGCGAACGUCUCCCGCGGUCUUCGCGGGAGACCGAUACCGGUCGGCGACGCUAC
rnacentral:rRNA from 1 species